UCGUCGCUCCUCCUCUCCUUCUCUCAUCAAAGCCCGAUCACUUUGCUUCUCCACUGCUAUCCGCUCCAUCCGAUCCUCGGUUCCUCGCUGGAGCCACGGUGUCGAUUGGAGAUCUCCAGCUAGUCUUAGGGCUCAGACUAGGACUGCUGCUCCUGUGAUUGAACGCUUUCAGCUCAAGAUCGCUACUAUGGCUUCUGAGAAUGCUUUCAAGGGAAAUCUUAACCAGUCUUCCCAAGCCUGGGGAUGGCGAGUUUGGAAAGUACUGUAGCCUACCUGCUCUGAAUGAUCCAAGGAUCGAUAAGUUGCCGUACUCCGUCAGGAUCCUUCUUGA